UACGUAGGGACCAAGCGUUGCUCGGAAUUACUGGGCGUAAAGCGCACGUAGGCGGUAUUUUAAGUCAGGGGUGAAAUCCUGGAGCUCAACUCCAGAACUGCCUUUGAUACUGAGGAUCUUGAGUUCGGGAGAGGUGAGUGGAACUGCGAGUGUAGAGGUGAAAUUCGUAGAUAUUCGCAAGAACACCAGUGGCGAAGGCGGCUCACUGGCCCGAUACUGACGCUGAGGCACGAAAGCGUGGGGAGCAAACAGG
rnacentral:rRNA from 1 species